rnacentral:rRNA from 1 species
GAUGAACGCUGGCGGCGUGCCUAAUACAUGCAAGUAGAACGCUGAAGGAGGAGCUUGCUCUUCUGGAUGAGUUGCGAACGGGUGAGUAACGCGUAGGUAACCUGCCUGGUAGCGGGGGAUAACUAUUGGAAACGAUAGCUAAUACCGCAUGACAACAGUUAUUGCAUGAUAACUGUUUAAAAGGGGCAACUGCUCCACUACCAGAUGGACCUGCGUUGUAUUAGCUAGUUGGUGAGGUAACGGCUCACCAAGGCGACGAUACAUAGCCGACCUGAGAGGGGGUGCGGCCGCACUGGGACUGAGACACGGCCCAGACUCCUACGGGAGGCAGCAGUAGGGAAUCUUCGGCAAUGGACGGAAGUCUGACCGAGCAACGCCGCGUGAGUGAAGAAGGUUUUCGGAUCGUAAAGCUCUGUUGUAAGAGAAGAACGAGUGUGAGAGUGGAAAGUUCACACUGUGACGGUAUCUUACCAGAAAGGGACGGCUAACUACGUG